UAUAGUUCAGUUGGUAGAGCGCUUGCCUAGCAUGCAGGAAGCCCUGGAUUCUACUCCUAGUA
rnacentral:tRNA from 1 species